CCCGGGCAGGUGGAGGUCGUUAGCGAAAGCAGUUCAUCUAGGAGAGCAAACUCCGAUUACAAACCCGGGCAGGUGGAGGUCGUUAGCGUAAGCAGUUCACCUAGGAGAGCAAACUCCGAUUACAAAACCGGGCAGGUGAGGUUCGUUAGCCGUGGUAGGCAAUUCACCUAGGAGAGCAAACUCCGAACAAUAAACCCGGGCAGGUUGGGCUCGUGAGCCGUCAUAGGUAAUACACCUAGGAGAGCAAACUCCGAACAAAAAACCCGGGCAGGUUGGGCUCGUGAGCCGUCAUAGGUAAUACACCUAGGAGAGCAAACUCCGAACAAUAAACCCGGGCAGGUGGAGCUCGUCAGCCGUGGUAGGCAGUCUGCCUAGGAGAGCAAACUCCGAACAAUAAACCGGGGCUUGUGGUGCUCCUUAGAUGUCGUAGACAAUCCACGUGAUGGGAACACCAAAGAAAAGGAAAAUAAAAACGAACACAAGAAAAAGGAAAAUAUAGUAACAAAACAUCAAGAAAAGAAAAGAAAAAACACAGAUCAUCCACCUUCAGGCCCUAACAUCUUCAAAAUUAUGGGUGAGUCUUUUCUGGGGAGAAAGAGGCUCAUCCAGACCAAAGAACAUAAAAAAGGGAUGAUAUAAAAAGGAACACCAAAAAAAUGGGAAAAAGAGAAAAAACAUCGCAGAAGAAAAGUAACAGCAAUAACAGAACAACGUCAAGAAAAGUAACAUGAAAAGAAACAUCAUCCACUAUUCGGCCCCAAACUAACAUCACCAAAAUUAUGGGUGGGUCUUUUCUGGGGAGAAAGAGGCUCAUCCAGACCCAAGAACAUCAAAGAGGGAUGAUAUGAAAAAGAACACCAAAAAAUAGGGGAAAAAAGAGCAAAAGAACAUCGGAAAAGAAAAGUAACAGCAAUAACAGAACAACAUUAAGAAAAGUAACAUACAAAGAAACAUCAUCCACCAUUCGGCCCCAAACUAACAUCACCAAAAUUAUGGGUGGGUCUCUUCUGGGAGGAAAGCGGCUCACCCAGACCAACGAAGAACAUCAACAAGAGGAUGAUAUGAAAUAAAAGAACAUUAAAAAACACGAAGAAAAGAAAUAAGAAGAAAAGAACAGAAAAAAAACAUCGGAAAAGAAAAACAAGAAGAAAAACACAUCAAAAGAAGAAAAAUAUAAGAAACAUCAUCCACCUUUCGGCCCCUAACUAACAUCACCAAAAUUAUGGGUGGGUCUCUUCUGGGAGGAAAGCGGCUCACCCAGACCAAUGAACAUCAACAAGAGGAUGAUAUGAAAUAAAAGAACAUCAAAAAAGAAAAACA